rnacentral:rRNA from 1 species
AUUGAACGCUGGCGGCAUGCCUUACACAUGCAAGUCGAACGGCAGCACGGGGGCAACCCUGGUGGCGAGUGGCGAACGGGUGAGUAACAUAUCGGAACGUGCCCUGGAGUGGGGGAUAACUAGUCGAAAGAUUAGCUAAUACCGCAUACGAUCUACGGAUGAAAGUGGGGGACCGCAAGGCCUCAUGCUCGUGGAGCGGCCGAUAUCUGAUUAGCUAGUUGGUGGGGUAAAGGCCUACCAAGGCAUCGAUCAGUAGCUGGUCUGAGAGGACGACCAGCCACACUGGGACUGAGACACGGCCCAGACUCCUACGGGAGGCAGCAGUGGGGAAUUUUGGACAAUGGGCGCAAGCCUGAUCCAGCAAUGCCGCGUGAGUGAAGAAGGCUUCGGGUUGUAAAGCUCUUUUGUCAGGGAAGAAACGGCGGAGACUAAUACUUUCUGCUAAUGACGGUACCUGAAGAAUAAGCACCGGCUAACUACGUGC